AGCACUGUAGGUGUCAGCCGCCGCGGUAAUACGAGGGGUGCAAGCGUUAUUCGGAAUCAUUAGGGCGUAAAGGGUGCGUAGACGGCUUACUAAGUCAACUGUUUAAUUCUCCGGCCUAACUGGAGGUCAGCGGUAGAAACUGGUAGGCUUGAGGUUGGAAGAGAGAAGUGGAAUUCUCGGAGUAGCGGUAAAAUGCGUAGAUCUCGAGAGGAACACCGAUGGCGAAAGCAGCUUCUUGGUCCAAAUCUGACGUUGAGGCACGAAAGCGUGGGGAGCAAACAGGAUUAGAUACCCUGGUAGUCCACGCUGUAAACGAUGAUCACUAGACGUUGACUCUGCUUGCAGGGCCAGUGUCGCAGCUAACGCGAUAAGUGAUCCGCCUGGGGAUACGGUCGCAAGACUAAAACUCAAAUGAAUUGACGGG
rnacentral:rRNA from 1 species